AUGUACCAUGAAGCUAUUGCAACAUGGAUAACUGAACAAGCUUCUGGAACUGAGAAGUGGGAGGUUAGAUACAUGAUAUACACAAAUGGAUUGAAGGCGGGUACCAAAAAGCAAAAAUAUGAUAGAAUCAGUGAGAAGAAUAUGACAACUUCCAUAGAGGUGCUUUGCAAAUUAUAUCCCUCAGAAGGCUUUUUCGAUAUCUAUUUAUUCGAGAAGGCUAUUAAUUUGACUAUAUUUUUGACUGGACUAUAUUUGAGUUUCCGCAAAUCAGUGGAAGCUCUAGAGGGACGCAUGACAAUGGCAAUGCGACUAUGA